AGUGGCUCUGACACUCAUCUUAUGAAUGUAGCUUUAAUGUGCAGCAAGAAAAUGAAACGGCAAGAAUUAAUUACCACGAAUUUAUCAUUAAAGGAUCCAAAAAAGUAACUGUAAUCUCUGUGAGAUUAAUUGUUGGAUUGAUUAUCGGACAUACACGGAUAAUUAAUGAUGUUGUGUUGUUUCCUUCUUUAAGACAUUUUUAAGAGCCAUGUAUUGUAUUUGUGGUAUUUUAUCUGUGUUAGGUGUAAUAUGCCUCCAAGCACUAGGGGGUGUAUGGUGUAGGCAGAGGCCGGUCUCAGGCAGCUCAUUGAGGCCACAAGCCAGUUACCACAGGUGCAGCUGAUCAGGAGAAGCAAACAGCUUUUGGCUGUUCUCUGAGGAGAUCGUCUGUUUUGUGCUCUAUUGUGUUUCGUAUGAGGUUAUUUUGUGUUUAUCAAAGGAUAUCGUGUGCUGUUUUGUCUCAACAAGGUAUUAAAAGUGACGGACACGGAUGGACCUGAUGGAGUUCCUCCCACCACAGUCCCAACAUCAGGAACCGAGUAGAUCUCAUCCACCUGCAGACACACACACAUCAUGGAAAUCUUCUAUCAGUGUGCUGCUCACCUCUCCUUUGCUGUUGAAGCCCAGGAUCUCGAAGCUGAUGCUGGAGGUGCGUCCGGUCUGGAUCUCGUGCAGAUGUCUGAAGAGGUUUAGCCGUGCACGGCCUCGCCCGUUGUCCAGCUCGCCC